GAAGGUUUAGUUAAAUUAUAACAUUAGAAUGUCAAACUAAAAUUAUCAUAUUCAUUGAUAUCCUUCU
rnacentral:tRNA from 1 species